GUCACUUCGGCAGCACAUAUACUAAAAUUGGAACGAUACAGAGAAGAUUAGCAUGGCCCCUGCCUCUUUCUGACUGGUCAAAGGUGAACUUUCCCCUUCAUAU